CAUAGCUAGUUAGCAGCUGAGAGCUCUUUCGAGAUUCUAUGGUGUGUCAUGCCGUUCUUAUUGUGACGAUUUGUCUGGUUAAUUCCGUUAACGAACGAGACCUCAGCCUGCUAACUAGCUAUGCGGAGGUAUCCCUCGCGGCCAGCUUCUUAGAGGGACUACGGCCUUUCAAGCCGCGAAGUUUGAGGCAAUAACAGGUCUGUGAUGCCCUUAGAU
rnacentral:ncRNA from 1 species